UUGAGAGUCAACAUGUUAUGUAAAAGCAAGUUAUGCAGUAGCUGCAAUAUUCGCAAAAAAAAUCAAGCCAUUUUCAGACGGUGAAAUUGUUAAAGAGUGCUUGGAAAGUGUCGCGGAAAUUGUGUGUCCAGAAAAGAAGAAGGAUUUCUCAAAAAUAAGCCUAUCUCGUCAAACUAUUACAAGACGUGUGGAUGAUAUUUGCCUGCACAUUGAACAUAAUUUUAAAAAACGUGCAUCUGAGUUUAUAUAUUAUUCUCUGGCAUUGGACGAAAGUAUGGAUAUGACAGAUACUGUACAAGUGGCGAUCUUUAUCAGAGCAUGCUGCUUUCUUCCUCCUGGGCAGGUGCACUAUUAUCUUUACAACAGAUUAUUUUGUUUUCAUUCACAAAAACUACUUCUUUCUUGACAUUUGUUAUGGAAAACACUUGAACACUGUGCACACAUAUUGCAGUAAAAGUUUAUUUUUACAACAUUGAUAAUUAAAAGUCACAGAGCACUGA